rnacentral:ncRNA from 1 species
GUGAACUACAAAUGUGAAUUAUUAGGGGAAGUUCCUAAUCUGUCCGAAUGCUGACGGACAAGACCUAAUACUCCGACAUGCAUUUAACACUACAAAGCUAAAUGUAUGAAGCUCGGUGAAGUCGGUGAAAAGUAGACCUGCGAAGUGGUUAGCGAAGUAAUCGGGGUGCCAUAAA